rnacentral:rRNA from 1 species
UACAAAGGGGGCAAGCGUUGUUCGGAAUUACUGGGCGUAAAGGGCGCGUAGGCGGCCGAUCAAGUCAGGCGUGAAAUUCCCGGGCUCAACCUGGGGGCUGCGCUUGAUACUGAUUGGCUUGAAUGCGGGAGAGGAUAGUGGAAUUCCCAGUGUAGAGGUGAAAUUCGUAGAUAUUGGGAAGAACACCAGUGGCGAAGGCGGCUAUCUGGCCCGUUAUUGACGCUGAGGCGCGAAAGCGUGGGGAGCAAACAGG